CAUCCAGACCAGACUUUUGAUCGUGUUUUAUUUCCAUUUAACAACUGAGGGUACUGAAGUUCUAAAACCUUCAUGAUGGGGAAGAAUUCAGAGGCAGCUCCUAAAAGAGCUCACCCUUGAGUGUGAGUCCGUUCUAAGUAAGUCAGGUGGGUUGGAAGCUUUGUGAACAUGAAUUUAUUCGGAUAUCUUUUUUUAAGGGAGUGAUAUAAUUAAGGGUUGAGAUUUUUCUAUUUUUCGUUUUAGAGGUUUUUUGGUUACCUAAUAGAUCAGCCUAAUGAAUCUAGAGAAAAGAAAUUUAUCUUUCAAACAGAAGUAUUUAGGUGCAUGAGUAAUGAACUAAAUGCUAUUGGCACAAUGAAGCUUACCUCUUAGGCUGAGAACAGUGUGGAAAUCAUGCCCGAAGCUUCAGGGAUGAAACCAGAUAGGCUUCUGACUGUGGGACCUUCCGGAGCGUGUAUUUGCAUUUUGGCAGGAAAAUAUCUGUGGUAUGCACACCCAUGCUGUUUGUUCCUCAUAACCCACAGUUGGGUUUCAUCUGGAUUCCCCCCCCCGCCCCCACCUCUAACCCAUCGUCUCUUGCUCUAAGAAUUGCUACUGCCCCUGCCCAAACCCACAGGGGUGUGCUUCUGAGGCAGGCUUACAUCAAAAGGGCCUGCCCCACUCUUGACUGGGGGAAGCCAUCUUCAAAUUGGGCUGGACCAAGCAGAGAAUGUCUCCUGGAGAAUGGUGUUGGGCCUGGCCAGUCAGUUGGUCAGUGGCUGGCUGGAGCCGGGCAUGAAAUGGAGCCAGGGUUGAACCAGACAUUUCUACCUGUGCCUUCAAUCAAACAAAAAUCUCCCUCUCAGUUAUAAGAGCUAAGAGAGAACCUGAUAUGGACAAGGAUGCCUUCCUUCUUCCGCUCAGUAAUUGUGAUUUCCCUAGGGUGUGACUGCUAACGACUGAUUUCUACCACAAUAAGAACCUGGAUGCUAUUGGAAUUUAUUAGACUCCCUGUCACUAGAAGUACAUGUAGGUGGUUUUGAGUUCAAGCUGAUAGUCACGAACAGGUGUUAUAACCUCGAAUUUUGUUUGAGACAGGCUGCUUCCUCAGCCUUUUAGAAGAGAGGUACAAGUAGGCCAGGGGCUGUGUUAGUGACUAAUCUCACAGGGCUCCCCAAAGGCUUCUAUUCAGGUUUUUUAAGUGAUAGGCAUGCUAACAGGGCUGAUGCUUAUUACUUUGAAUCAGGUACUAAUGCCUUAUUCUUGUUAUUACUUUCACAAAACAUGAAAACUCAUUCUGAGAUUAAAGGGUUUUCAUCAUUUUUAAGAUAAUGGUAUAUCAACAAGAAAUUGUACUUGGCUGUGAGUAACAAAGACAUGAAAAACAGACCUACAAAAUUAGAGGCUUUAUUUCUCACAUUAAACAGAAACCUUAGGGUGGCAUCCAGGGCUUGGUAUGGUAGCUUCACGGCCCAGUUUCCUUCCAUCUGCCAUCCUUAGCAUGUGGUUUCCAUCCUCGUGGACAUCAGAUGGCUACUGGAACUCUAGCCAUCAGGGCCACAUUGCAAAUGGAAAAAGGGGAAGGGCCAAGAGCAAACUAUGCAUGCCAGUUAGUUGGGUCCCACCCAGUAGCUUCUACUUAUAUCUCAUUGGCUAGAUUUAGUUCCAAGGUCAUCUGGCAAGAGAGGCAAGAAUAUAGAAAUACUCAGCCUGGCUCAUUGCUGCCUCAGACAAAAUUAGAGUUCUAUUAGCAAAAAAGAAGCGGGGAGGGGUUAUCCAGCAGUCUGUGCUCUGUGUCUAAAGAAAUAUUUCUGUAGGAAGCAUUCUAUUGGCUUAACAUUUUAUAGUCAAAACCUAUGAGAAUUUCAUAUAAAAUUUUCACAUAAUAUUGUAAAAUCUCUGAUAGGGUUUCCACAGCUGACUUACCAUCAUUUCGAAUUAAAACCAUGCAUUAGAUUCUUAAUCAUCCCAUCCAGACAUCCCUGUGUCUGCCAGUUCUCCAGACUAAAAGCCAUAGUUUUCUCUUUCUUACCUUUUAUUUUUCAUGUUAAACCACUCCUUAAUGUUAUCUGCCUACUAUCCAGAGUAUCUCUUAGAUCUAUCUGUUUCUUUCCACCCCAGCCAUCAGUCCAAUUUGACAUCCACUAAGUAAGGCACUGUGCUAGGCUCUGUGUAUGCAGAGAUCAUUAAGGCACUUAGUUGCAGGACUUCAGUUCUGGGUUAUGCACUCACACCAGCUGAAGAGCUAAUCUUCCUGUUUCUACCUUCAGACCUGCCACUCCUUGUGCAUGCAACCCUUACUCAGACAUUUCUUCCCCAUCUUCCCACAAGAUGUGGGUCAAAAUCUGUGUUUUUCAGUUGCCCCACAGCCUGCAUCCAUUGUGGUUAUGCAGUCUUAGCUUCCCGUGGCCAUGUGGAGUUAGGGCGGAUACUGGAAAGAUCCCUGUCCAGCCAUUUCAUGGCACCGUCACCUUCAUCAAAAUCUCUGGCUCCAAGUGUUGUGUGUGAACAAUGGUGAUGGGUAGCAAGGAACACUUGAGUGAAUUUGUCAGAAAUAGGAACAGCAAGAAAAUUUGAAAGGGCCUCCUGUUUUCAGAAGGCACUUGACUACCUUUGGAUCAAUUCAGAGAGGCUUCAAUGACUCUUAAGAGGAUUAGGCCAGAGGACUUCAGUGAAACUUUUGUGCUUUUGUUUCAUAGGAUGGAAACCCUUGACAAGUGUUAUAUACAAACAACACUUAAGGUGGAACAAGAGCUUUUCAAUGA
rnacentral:lncRNA from 1 species